rnacentral:rRNA from 1 species
GUGGGGAAUAUUGGACAAUGGGCGAAAGCCUGAUCCAGCCAUGCCGCGUGUGUGAAGAAGGUCUUCGGAUUGUAAAGCACUUUAAGUUGGGAGGAAGGGCAGUAAGUUAAUACCUUGCUGUUUUGACGUUACCGACAGAAUAAGCACCGGCUAACUUCGUGCCAGCAGCCGCGGUAAUACGAAGGGUGCAAGCGUUAAUCGGCAUUACUGGGCGUAAAGCGCGCGUAGGUGGUUUUGUAAGUUGGAGGUGAAAUCCCCGGGCUCAACCUGGGAACUGCCUCCAAAACUGGAUGACUAGAGUACGGUAGAGGGUAGUGGAAUUUCCUGUGUAGCGGUGAAAUGCGUAGAUAUAGGAAGGAACACCAGUGGCGAAGGCGACUACCUGGACUGAUACUGACACUGAGGUGCGAAAGCGUGGGGAGCAAACAGGAUUAGAAACCCGAGUAGUCC